rnacentral:tRNA from 1 species
GCGGGAGUGGCGGAACUGGCAGACGCGCUAGACUUAGGAUCUAGUGCCGCAAGGCGUGGAGGUUCGAGUCCUCUCUCCCGCA